rnacentral:lncRNA from 1 species
GCAAUCCUCCUGCCUCAACCUCCCAACUAGCUGAGACUACAGGCAUGUGCCACCAUGCCCAGCUAAUUUUUAAAUUUUUUCUGGAGACAGGGUCUCACUAUGUUGCCAAGGCUGGUCUCAAACUCCUGGCCUCAAGCUGUCCUUCCAUCUCAGCCUCCCAAAGUGCUGGAUUACAAAUGUGAGCCACCAGCAUGUAUGUGCCCAGAGGGUAACUGUAUACAGGUAAAGAAAGCUUUUCGUGGUUCACUGACUGAGGAAAAUCAACCCCUCCACAAUCUAGAACCUGAAGACUGGAUCUUCUGGGAACAUCAGAAAUAGACUGCCUUUGCCAUCCACACUACAGCAAAACUCUGGGACCUUGAACUUUGGGUUCAUAAUCUCACAACCCAAAAGGUUCCCUCCACACUCCUGGAACUGUACACCCUUUGGAAACUUUAAGGUAACACUAACCAGGGAAGUGUCUCCCCAGAAGAUGACAUUCUUGAUGUGAACAGCUUUUCCCCAAGAUCAUGAAUCAAGAUUCCUCUACUAUCAGGAGACUCUCAAUCUUUCAAAUUUUUCCCCCUUGCUUAUGCCUCCAUGAGCAAUAGAGGUGAAGUCGGGGUCAGUUGUGUGUACUCAUGGGGUAUACUUUUAUUUGUGAAGGAUUUUGCAGCCAGCCUUGUACAUGGAUAACCUUAUGGUUUGACAGAUGGAAGAUGAAGGCCCAAUGUAGGUGAGAAAUUUGAAUGGUAUAUUAUGUUCCCUUAUAAUCAGUCAGAAGGACAACAUGGAUCUACUCCUGUUUACCCACCUCAUGGGUUAAAGAAAACAUUGCCAGGAGGUCUUCACUCUUCUAGAAGGGCAUCAUUUGUUAGGUCCUUUUUGCAUGGUUUGGAGUAAAUGAGGCAAUGAUUAGAAAUGUAUCCCUCAUGAGAGGCCCCACAGCAGAUUCUACCAUAAAGCCUGUGGUUACGCAACGGACUUUAAAUUCUUUUGGGAAAGUUAUGCUAAAUAAUAGAAUUUCUCUAGAUUUCUUACUGGCUAAACAGAAGUAUCUAUAGAGCUCCUGGCACUUGUUGCCCAUGGAAAAAUACAUAACAUCUGGUGUUAUAGAGAUUCAGUUGUAGGGGAUUAACAAAGAGAGUGCUCAGUUAAAGUGAGUAGACUCUUUAGCUCAUUCUUUGAUCCUUUGAUCUAUUUGGUUUUAGCUUGUUUGGUUUAUGGGGACCUUGGCUAAGGAGCAUACUCCAAACUCUUGGUAUUAUCUUUCUGAUAUUCAUAAUCAUCGUUUCCCUGGUGUGCUGUCUUCUCUUAAAAGUUUUAAAUGUCUGCAUGCAGCCAUCUCUAGAAUGUCAAAUGGUCUCUCUUCAGGUGGAAUGACAAGAGCUGAAAGAAAUGUGUGGCCAUGAGGGCACCAUAACCUAUGAAUGACGUGCUGAGACCAGAAGCCCAAAAUGAUGGUAAAUGAGAGUGGCAGUAAGGCCCUACGUUUUGGUCACACUCUCACCUAAGUGAGAACGUGACCAAAAGGGGAGAAUUUUAAAAGAAAAUUAUGGGAGGCCAUUGUUUUGGACUGAGCUCCUGCACUAAGCCCCAAUAGACCAGAACAAACCAAAAUGGAGUUACUCAUGCUAAAUGUGAUAUAAUCAAACUAAGACUUUCAUGAAACACAUAGAUCCUAGAAAAGACCUGAUUUUAUCUUUUUCCUGUGAACAGGACAUUCCAGGAUGUACCCUCUACUCUAACCUUUACAAAAAAGUAACCUGAAGUCCUUGUUCCCAACUUACAAAACCCACUGUUUUGCUGUUUCCCAGUGGGUUCCAAGACUAACUAAGUACGUUUAUGAUGGUGAUAGUAACAGCAAUGACAAAGUUUUGGUCAAUCUCUCAAAAUUGAGAGGAUGAUCAAAAGAGGGGAAUUGUUAAGUUUAAUCUAAAGCUACCUCCUUACAUAUUUUAAGUUCGGCCUAAGGGUUUCUCUGUACAUCGUCAACUAAAACCUAAGUAGAGUUGUGUGCCUAGUAAUGUGCCAAUCACUGAGUUUUAACCAAUCAAAGGCAGCCAACUGUUCAAACCAUGUCCAAAUAAGGCAAACGCUGAGCUGUAACCAGUCCAGCUGUUUCUGUCCCUCACUUCCAUUUUCUGUCACUUUUCUUUGUCUGUCCAUAAAUCUUCUUCCACCAUGUGGCUAUGCUGGUGCCUUUGAGCCUACUGUGGCUCAGGAGGCUCUUCAAUUCACGAAUCAUUCUUUGCUCAAUUCAAUUCAAUUUAAUUCAGCUAAAGUUUUGCUUUUAACACUUUGUUAGUGUGUGUUUAUUUCUGGGCUCUGUAUUCUGUUCUCUCGAUCUACAUGACAAUUUCACACUAUCUUGAUAACUGUAGUUUUAUAGUAUCUUGAAAUCAAAUAGUUUAAGGCCUUCACCUUUGUUCUUUUUCAAAAUUGUUUUGGAUAUUCUGGGUCCUUUGCCUUUUUGUAUAAAUUUAAGAUCAGAUUUUCAAAAUCUUUUCACAAAGCAUGUUAAAAUUUUAAUUGGAAUUAUACCAAAUGGAUAGGUCAACUUGAAGAGGACUUACAUCUUAACAAUAUUGAGUAUUCCAACUCACAAACAUGAUGUAUCUUUCCAUUGAAAUAGGUCUUUUUCAACUUCAUUUUGUAAUUGUUUGUGUUUCUCACUGCACAGGUCUUGUAUAUCUUUCAUGAAAUAUAGUGCUGGAUAUUUUUCAUAUAUUAACCUGUAUCUUGCAAACUUGCUACAUUCACUUAUUAGUUUUAAUAGUGUUUUUAUAAAUUCAUUAGGACUGCCUAUAUACACUUUUUUCCCCCCAAUUUGUUUGUCUAUUAUUUCUUUUUCCAGCCUUGGCUAGGACCUUCAGUAAAAUACCGAAGAUAGUGAUGGCAGACAUCUUUGCCUUGUUCUUGAUCUUAUUUGAAAGCUGAGUCCUUCACCAUUGAGUAUGAUAUGAGGUGUAAAUUUUGGUUUGUUUUUGUUUUGUAGAAGCUCUCAAUCGGGUUGUGAAAGUUCCCUUCUAUUUCUAAUUUUCUGGAAGUUUUUAUUGAGAGGGUAUUGAAUUUUAUCAAAUGCUUUUCCCCAUAUCUAUUGAAACGAUCAUACACUUUUCUUUUUUAUUCUAUUAAUAUGGUGAAUCAUAUUGAUUCACCAACUUUUAAAUCAUUUUAGAAGUUAAACUAAUCUUGAAUUCCCCAAAUACACCCCACCUGGUCUGGAUGCCUUAUUCUUUCUAUAGAUGGUUUGAUUUAAUUUGCUAAUAU